CAGACCAAUUCGGCAGCAGGGUGAUUAUUAAUGGAAAGACCUACUUUUUCGGUACCUACGUUAACACGGAUGCGGUUGCAGCGUUCAAUCAUUGCUGCGCCCUUGGAAUGAAACUCUUUGAACCAAUGACUCCGGCAGAUCUGCAAGUGGCCCUCAAUAUAUCGAAAAUUUCAGCUGAAAACAGCGUGCUUGUGGGCGAAACGGAAUCGAUCGACCAGACGCGCGAGGUUUGGUGUCGCAGCCGCAAGUUGUUGCCUGAGAAUCUCUACGGUUUCUCAAGUGGAGCAUACAGAUAUCCGUGCACCGAAUCCGUCGUCGCGGUCAAGAUAAGCGACGUCAAACUGGUCUUGAUCAGCCUGAUGAAAGGGAGCAUCCACGAUUUUUACCUCAAUUUUAAGAAUCCGCCAAGUGUUUUUGCAACAUCGUUUAUAUGCGAGCAACCGUAA